rnacentral:rRNA from 1 species
GAACGCUGGCGGCGUGCCUAACACAUGCAAGUCGAACGGAGAAUAUACGCUUCAGAAGCUUCGGCAGAUGAUUGUAUAUUCUUAGUGGCGGACGGGUGAGUAACGCGUGGGCAACCUGCCUCAUACUGGGGGGAUAACAGCUGGAAACGACUGUUAAUACCGCAUAAGCGCACAGUGUCGCAUGACACAGUGUGAAAAACUCCGGUGGUAUGAGAUGGGCCCGCGUCAGAUUAGCCAGUUGGCGGGGUAACGGCCCACCAAAGCGACGAUCUGUAGCCGGCCUGAGAGGGCGGACGGCCACAUUGGGACUGAGACACGGCCCAAACUCCUACGGGAGGCAGCAGUGGGGGAUAUUGCACAAUGGAGGAAACUCUGAUGCAGCGACGCCGCGUGAGUGAAGAAGUAUUUCGGUAUGUAAAGCUCUAUCAGCAGGGAAGAAAGGCUCGUAAGAGAGAUGACGGUACCUGACUAAGAAGCCCCGGCUAACUACGUGCCAGCCGCCGC